rnacentral:rRNA from 1 species
AUUGAACGCUGGCGGCAUGCCUUACACAUGCAAGUCGAACGGCAGCACGGGAGCAAUCCUGGUGGCGAGUGGCGAACGGGUGAGUAAUAUAUCGGAACGUGCCCAGUCGUGGGGAUAACGUAGCGAAAGCUACGCUAAUACCGCAUACGAUCUAUGGAUGAAAGCGGGGGAUCGCAAGACCUCGCGCGAUUGGAGCGGCCGAUAUCAGAUUAGGUAGUUGGUGAGGUAAAGGCUCACCAAGCCGACGAUCUGUAGCUGGUCUGAGAGGACGACCAGCCACACUGGGACUGAGACACGGCCCAGACUCCUACGGGAGGCAGCAGUGGGGAAUUUUUGGGACAAUGGGCGCAAGCCUGAUCCAGCAAUGCCGCGUGCAGGAUGAAGGCCUCGGUUGUAAC